GCACCCUUGGCUCAAUUGGAUAGAGUACCUGACUACGAAUCAGGCGGUUGUAGGUUCGACUCCUACAGGGUGCG
rnacentral:tRNA from 1 species